rnacentral:rRNA from 1 species
AUUGAACGCUGGCGGCAUGCUUUACACAUGCAAGUCGAACGGUAACAGGGUGCUUGCACCGCUGACGAGUGGCGAACGGGUGAGUAAUGCGUCGGAACGUGCCGAGUAGUGGGGGAUAACGCAGCGAAAGUUGUGCUAAUACCGCAUACGUACUGAGGUAGAAAGUGGGGGACCUUCGGGCCUCACGCUAUUCGAGCGGCCGACGUCUGAUUAGCUAGUAGGUGAGGUAAAGUCUCACCUAGGCGACGAUCAGUAGCGGGUCUGAGAGGAUGAUCCGCCACACUGGGACUGAGACACGGCCCAGACUCCUACGGGAGGCAGCAGUGGGAAUUUUGGACAAUGGGCGAAAGCCUGAUCCAGCCAUGCCGCGUGUCUGAAGAAGGCCUUCGGGUUGUAAAGGACUUUCGUCAGGGAGGAAAUCCCUAGUGCUAAUAACACUGGGGGAUGACAGUACCUGAAGAAUAAGCACCGGCUAACUACGUGCCAGCCGCCGCCGUAA